GCAGUCGAACGAAUCCCAAGAGUGUAGCAAUACAUUUGAGGGGGAAGUGGCGAAAGGGGCAGUAAUGUAUGGAUAACGUACCCUCAGGUCGUGAAUAGCCUUCCUAACGGUAGGGUAAUGCACGGCGUCAUCGCGAGGCGGCAUCGUUUUGCGAUUAAAGAAUUUCGCCUGGGGAGCGGUCCAUAUCGUAUCAGCUAGUUGGCGGGGUAACGGCCCACCAAGGCUAAGACGCGUAGCGGGUGUGAGAGCACGACCCGCGCCACUGGCACUGAGACACUGGCCAGACUCCUACGGGAGGCUGCAGUCGAGGAUCUUCGGCAAUGGGCGCAAGCCUGACCGAGCGACGCCGCGUGUGCGAUGAAGGCCUUCGGGUUGUAAAGCACUGUCGAGGGGGAGGAAGCCGCAAGGUUGACCUAUCCCUGGAGGAAGCACGGGCUAAGUUCGUGCCAGCAGCCGCGGUAAGACGAACCGUGCAAACGUUAUUCGGAAUCACUGGGCUUAAAGGGCGCGUAGGCGGGUUGGACAGUCUGCGGUGAAAUCCUCCAGCUUAACUGGAGAACUGCCGUGGAUACUGCCAGUCUCGAGGAGGGUAGGGGCAUCUGGAACAGCCGGUGGAGCGGUGAAAUGCGUUGAUAUCGGCUGGAACUCCGGUGGCGAAGGCGAGAUGCUGGACCCUUUCUGACGCUGAGGCGCGAAAGCCAGGGGAGCGAACGGGAUUAGAUACCCCGGUAGUCCUGGCCCUAAACGAUGAGAACUGGAUAGCGAUUCUGACAUAGAACCGCUGUCGGAGCAAAAGUGUUAAGUUCUCCCCCUGGGGAGUAUGGUCGCAAGGCUGAAACUCAAAGGAAUU
rnacentral:rRNA from 1 species